rnacentral:tRNA from 1 species
CAGGGGGUAUAUCAAUAGGUAGAUUAUCUGCUUUGGGAGUAGGAGGUUGUGGGUUCAAAUCUCAUUUCCCUGA